rnacentral:rRNA from 1 species
UCCUACGGGAGGCAGCAGUGGGGAAUAUUGGACAAUGGGCGAAAGCCUGAUCCAGCAAUGCCGCGUGAGUGAUGAAGGCCUUAGGGUUGUAAAGCUCUUUUACCAGGGAUGAUAAUGACAGUAC